UACAGAGGGGCAAGCGUUUGUUCGGAAUUACUGGGCGUAAAGGGCGCGUAGGCGCCUUCUAAGUCGAACGUGAAAUCCCUGGGCUCAACCCAGGAACUCGUCCAUACUGGAAGGCUUGAAUCCGGGAGAGGGAUGCGGAAUUCCAGGUGUAGCGGUGAAAUGCGUAGAUAUCUGGAGGAACACCGGUGGCGAAGGCGCAUCCUGGACCGGCAUUGACGCUGAGG
rnacentral:rRNA from 1 species